rnacentral:tRNA from 2 species
GCCCUUUAGCUCAGUGGUUAGAGCAGGCGACUCAUAAUCGCUUGGUCGUUGGUUCAAACCCAACAGGGGGCACCA